rnacentral:rRNA from 1 species
AGCAGCCGCGGUAAUUCCAGCUCCAAUAGCGUAUAUUAAAGUUGUUGCAGUUAAAAAGCUCGUAGUUGAAUUUCGGGGUUAGUAGGUUGGUCGUGCCACAGGUAUGUACUGGUCUUACUGAUUCCUCCUUCCUGAUGAACCGUAAUGCCAUUAAUUUGGUGUUGCGGGGAAUCUGGACUGUUACUUUGAAAAAAUUAGAGUGUUUAAAGCAGGCUAACGCUUGAAUACAUUAGCAUGGAAUAAUGAAAUAGGACGAUCGAUCCUAUUUUGUUGGUUUCUAGGAUUGACGUAAUGAUUAAUAGGGAUAGUUGGGGGCAUUAGUAUUCAAUUGUCAGAGGUGAAAUUCUUGGAUUUAUUGAAGACUAACUACUGCGAAAGCAUUUGCCAAGGNUGUUUUCAUUAAUCAAGAACGAAAGUUAGGGAUCGAAGACGAUCAGAUACCGUCGUAGUCUUAACCAUAAACCUAUCGACCGACUAGGGAUCGGAUGAUGUUUAAUUUUUANGUACUUCUAUUCGGCGU